rnacentral:misc_RNA from 1 species
CCUGUUGUUUUUGAUAAAUUUGAACAUUUGACUUCACUUCAUGUUAAUUCAACGGAUGAUCAGUUUCUUACAAGUGGUUAUUCAAAGAAAGUUGCUAUAUAUGAUAUUUGUAGUGGGAAGCGCUUGCAUUUGUUCAGUGAUAUGCAUCAAGAACCUAUUAAUGUGGCAAAAUUUGCACACCACUCUCCAAACCUGCUAGUCACUUCAUCAUUCGAUCGGGAUGUCAAAUUGUGGGAUUUAAGGCAGACACCAAAUCAACCCUGUUAUACAACCUCAAGCUCAAGGGGAAAUGUGAUGGUUUGCUUCUCCCCGGAUGACCUGUAUCUGCUGGUAUCAGCUGUAGACAACGAGGUGAAACAACUUUUGUCUGUAGAUGGUAGGCUGCAGACAGAUUUCGGUAUAGCUUCGACUGGGAGCGCUCAUAAUUAUACACGAUCAUAUUACAUGAAUGGAAGGGACUAUGUCAUUAGUGGAAGCAGUGAUGAAUCAAUUGUUCGCAUUUGUUGUGCUCAAACUGGGAGACGAUUGAGGGACUAUUAUUUGGAGGACCGCAGAUUGGAGAGUCCGAUAUUGGUGCAGUCAUUGAGAAGUGAUCCUUUCAGACAUUUUCACAUGGCUGUUCUAGCAUCCUAUGUUCGCCCCAGUUCAAAACGAGACAUCAUUAAGG